UUGAUAGCCAUAGAGACUGAAACUUGUAUGUAGAUACAGAACAGGUACAAACACAGGCGGUAGUGGUACAAGAUUCUCCCACCCCAUCAACCAACAUGCCUCAAUUCUGACCUGGAGUGAUGACUUCUAGGAGCAAGAGGGGAGUUCAGUCUCCAUGGCCCAAUCAGUCCUUGCUGAAGCU
ensembl:misc_RNA